GUUGAUUGCACGUUUGGAAAAAAUUGAAAUCCUUAGUGGGAGUGAGUUACUGGUGUCCUGCUUUACCAAGGCUGCUAUACAUGAAGAUUACUUCACAAGUACGCCAUUAUGAAGUAGGAAUAAGUUCAUCAUCAUCGGAGUUUAUAAUUUUGUUGUUUAAUCAAUAGUUUUUUAGUUCAUCGUUUUGU